UUGCACGCUGGCGGCAGGCCUAACACAUGCAAGUCGAGCGGAUGAAGGGAGCUUGCUCCUGGAUUCAGCGGCGGACGGGUGAGUAAUGCCUAGGAAUCUGCCUGGUAGUGGGGGAUAACGUCCGGAAACGGGCGCUAAUACCGCAUACGUCCUGAGGGAGAAAGUGGGGGAUCUUCGGACCUCACGCUAUCAGAUGAGCCUAGGUCGGAUUAGCUAGUUGGUGGGGUAAAGGCCUACCAAGGCGACGAUCCGUAACUGGUCUGAGAGGAUGAUCAGUCACACUGGAACUGAGACCCGGCCCAAACUCCUAGGGGAGGCAACAGGGGGGAAUUUUGGAAAAGGGGCGAAAGCCUGACCCAACCAGGCCGGGUUUGUGAAGAAGGUCUUCGGAUUUAAAAACCUUUUAAGUUGGGAGGAAGGGCAGUAAUUUAAACCCUUGGUUUUUUAACGUUACCAACAGAAUAAGCACCGGCUAAUUUUGU
rnacentral:rRNA from 1 species